rnacentral:rRNA from 1 species
GAUGAACGCUGGCGGCGUGCCUAAUACAUGCAAGUCGAGCGAACAGACCAUGCUCUUGCUCCUCUGACGUUUGCGGCGGACGUGUGAGUAACACGUGUAUAACCUACCUAUCAGACUGGUAUCACUUCGGGAAACCGGAUCUAAUACCGUAUAAUAUCUUGAACCGUAUGGUUCUUUAGUGAUAGACGGUUUUGCUGUCACUUAUACAUGUUUUCACGCUGCAUUAGCUAGUUGGUCAGGUAACGGCUUACUAAGGCAACGAUGCGUAGCCGAACUGAGAGGGUGAUAGGCCACACUAGAACGGAAACAGGGUCAAGAGGACUAAGGGAGGCAGCAGAAGGGAAUGUUACGCAAUGGGAGAAAGCAUGACGGAGCAAGGCCGAGUGAGAGAUGAAGGUGUUCGGAUCGUAAAAAUCUGUUAUUAGGGAAGAACAAAUGUGGAAGUAACCAUGCACGGAGUGACGGUACCUAAUAAGAAAGCAACGGCUAACUACGUG